AUUGAACGCUGGCGGCAUGCCUAACACAUGCAAGUCGAACGGCAGCACAGUAAAGAUUUCGGUCUUUAUGGGUGGCGAGUGGCGGACGGGUGAGUAAUGCGUAGGAAUCUGUCCUGGAGAGUAGGAUAACCCGAGGAAACUCGGGCUAAUACUGCAUGAUAUCGAGAGAUCAAAGGCAGGGGACCCUUCGGGGCCUUGCUCUCUAGGAUGAGCCUACGUCGGAUUAGCUAGUUGGUGGGGUAAAGGCCGACCAAGGCGAGGAUCCGUAGCUGGUCUGAGAGGAUGACCAGCCACACUGGGACUGAGACACGGCCCAGACUCCUACGGGAGGCAGCAGUGGGGAAUCUUGGACAAUGGGGGAAACCCUGAUCCAGCGAUGCCGCGUGUGUGAAGAAGGCCUUCGGGUUGUAAAGCACUUUAGUUGGGGAAGAAAAGUAAUGAGUGAAUAACUGAUUGCUCUGACGGUACCCAAAGAAUAAGCACCGGCUAACUCUGUGCCAGCCGCCGCCGUAA
rnacentral:rRNA from 1 species